GCUGGGUGUGGUGGUGCACACCUGUAGUUCCAGCUACUCAGAAGGCUGAGGUGGGAGGAUCGCUUGAGCACAGGAGGUGGAGACUGCAGUGAGCCGAGACUGUGUCAUUGUACUCCAGCCUGGGCAACAGAGUGAGACCCUAUCUCAA
rfam:Pan troglodytes isolate Yerkes chimp pedigree #C0471 (Clint) chromosome 19, whole genome shotgun sequence.